UAAACCAGCGCUUUUAUUUUCUAUUUUACCUUAUUAAUUUUAUUUCUUAUACAUACACCUCGAGACAACCUCCCAAAAGGCUUUAACACACUUAAGAUCUAAAGACCACAUGUAUCUCAAAUUUGAAGAACGCAUCUAACAAUCUAAAGGCUUAAUCAACGAGUUCUCUUAGAUCUGUGGAGGUCGAUGGCCAUCGACAAAAGGGAAAAUAUUUCUUCCCAAAGCCAUCUUCGCGGCGGUAGCGCUUUCCUCGCUGGAAAUUGGUAGCUGCGGGAGAACAAAAGAAAGUUGUUUUUGUUGUGGACUGAAAAGAUAUCAAUUUCUUAACUUCUGGAACUUCGAGAUUCCUUCGCCAUUUAAUAAAUCCUAGCUCUAAGAAGAUCCAGUGAUAAAAAGGAUAGCUCCGUGCACUAAGCUUCCGCUAUGCGCGGGGUCCGAAGAAGGGCCGAACCACAAGAAGAUCUAGUGAUGAAAUUUAAAAUUUUCAAGGGUGCUAAAAAAUUGUACACAAACCACCUGCGCCCUUUCCUCAUGAGACGUCAGGCAAGACGAUCAUAUUUUGGAGUUAUUUUAUGGAAAACUGGUAAAAGUUAUCUUUUAUCGUAUGUUAUAAAUUUGACUUUAAAAUUUGUUGAUGCAACUUGCCAAUUAAUUUAAGGUUAUAUAAAGUGUCAUUUAAUUUAAUUUACUAGGAUGUAGCAUUCUGUCACUUGAUGUUUUUGCCCUUUUCCAAAGAUUUUCAUAAAUUCCAGAGUAAGGUUGGAAGAGACUGUGCUCCAGCAUGUAAGUUAAAAGGACUUCUUAAGGUUUUUGAUCAGUAGUUUGUCUCUUAACAUGUAUUGUGUAAUUGCAGCUUCUUAAGGAAUCUCUAAUUGUCAAUUCAAAUUGUCUUAUGGAAAUAUAGUUUGCAGGCCAAGUUUAUUAGCACCCACCAAAGAGAAAUCCGGUUUGCACAGAUGCUUCUUGUCAAAAUUUUAUUAUUAGGUGGUUCUUUUUUGUAGUAACAGUUUCCCUUCAUCUUAUGUUUGUUUCAUAAGCUAUUUCAGGGUGAAUAUCAGUAUCUAUCCAUCGUAUAAUAAUUAUAGAAACAUACUAUAAUUAUAUUAUAUAAGGCAUAAAGUUUUUGACAUCUA